rnacentral:rRNA from 1 species
AGAGUUUGAUCCUGGCUCAGAUUGAACGCUGGCGGCAUGCCUUUCACAUGCAAAGUCGAACGGUAACAGGUUAAGCUGACGAGUGGCGAACGGGUGAGUAAUGUAUCGGAACGUGCCCAGUCGUGGGGGAUAACUGCUCGAAAGAGCAGCUAAUACCGCAUACGACCUGAGGGUGAAAGCGGGGGAUCGCAAGACCUCGCGCGAUUGGAGCGGCCGAUAUCAGAUUAGGUAGUUGGUGGGGUAAAGGCCCACCAAGCCAACGAUCUGUAGCUGGUCUGAGAGGACGACCAGCCACACUGGGACUGAGACACGGCCCAGACUCCUACGGGAGGCAGCAGUGGGGAAUUUUGGACAAUGGGCGCAAGCCUGAUCCAGCCAUGCCGCGUGCGGGAAGAAGGCCUUCGGGUUGUAAACCGCUUUUGUCAGGGAAGAAAAGGUUCUGGCUAAUACCUGGGACUCAUGACGGUACCUGAAGAAUAAGCACCGGCUAACUACGUGCCAGCAGCCGCGGUAAU